AUGAACGCUGGCGGCGUGCCUAAUACAUGCAAGUCGAGCGAACGGACGAGAAGCUUGCUUCUCUGAUGUUAGCGGCGGACGGGUGAGUAACACGUGGAUAACCUACCUAUAAGACUGGGAUAACUUCGGGAAACCGGAGCUAAUACCGGAUAAUAUUUUGAACCGCAUGGUUCAAAAGUGAAAGACGGUCUUGCUGUCACUUAUAGAUGGAUCCGCGCUGCAUUAGCUAGUUGGAAGGUAACGGCUUACCAAGGCAACGAUGCAUAGCCGACCUGAGAGGGUGAUCGGCCACACUGGAACUGAGACACGGUCCAGACUCCUACGGGAGGCAGCAGUAGGGAAUCUUCCGCAAUGGGCGAAAGCCUGACGGAGCAAAGCCGCGUGAGUGAUGAAGGUCUUCGGAUCGUAAAACUCUGUUAUUAGGGAAGAACAUAUGUGUAAGUAACUGUGCACAUCUUGACGGUACCUAAUCAGAAAGCCACAGCUAACUACGUG
rnacentral:rRNA from 1 species